UCUUGGUCAUUUAGAGGAAGUAAAAGUCGUAACAAGGUCUCCGUUGGUGAACCAGCGGAGGGAUCAUUACAGAGUUGCAAAACUCCCACAAACCAUCGCGAAUCUUACCCGUACGGUUGCCUCGGCGCUGGCGGUCCGGAAAGGCCCUCGGGCCCUCCCGGAUCCUCGGGUCUCCCGCUCGCGGGAGGCUGCCCGCCGGAGUGCCGAAACUAAACUCUUGAUAUUUUAUGUCUCUCUGAGUAAACUUUUAAAUAAGUCAAAACUUUCAACAACGGAUCUCUUGGUUCCGGCAUCGAUGAAGAACGCAGCGAAAUGCGAUAAGUAAUGUGAAUUGCAGAAUUCAGUGAAUCAUCGAAUCUUUGAACGCACAUUGCGCUCGCCAGUAUUCUGGCGAGCAUGCCUGUUCGAGCGUCAUUUCAACCAUCAAGCUCUGCUUGCGUUGGGGAUCCGCGGCUGUCCGCGGUCCCUCAAAAUCAGUGGCGGGCUCGCUAGUCACACCGAGCGUAGUAACUCUACAUCGCUAUGGUCGUGCGGCGGGUUCUUGCCGUAAAACCCCCCAUUUCUAAGGUUGACCUCGGAUCAGUAGGAAUACCCGCUGAACUUAAGCAUAUCAAUAAGCGGAGGAA
rnacentral:rRNA from 1 species